rnacentral:rRNA from 1 species
AAAAGGCGUUGGUCGAUAUAGACAGCAGGGCGGUGACCAUGGAAGUCGGGACCCGCUAAGGAGUGUGUAACAACUCACCUGCCGAAUCGACUAGCCCCGAAAAUGGAUGGCGCUGAAGCGCGGUGCCUAUACCGGACCGUCGCGGCAAUGUACGAACGCGCGGUAGUGAGCGCGGGCGUCGAGAGGCCGCGACGAGUAGGAGGGUCGCCGCGGUGGCGGGGAAACUCGGCGAGCGAUCGCGAGCGGAGCCGCCGCGGGCGCAGAUCUUGGUGGUAGUAGCAAAUAUUCGAACGAGAUCUUCGAAGACGGACGCGGAGAAGGGUUCCACGUGAACAGCGGUUGAACGCGGGUCAGUCGGUCCCAAGUCAUCCGGGCUAACGCCCCCUCGAAGGCGGCCGGCGAGCUCCGCGAGCGCGAGCGUGCGCUCCUAGCGCGCGCGAGCGCCCGAGCCGAGCCGGUAACUCGGGCGAAAGGGAAUCCGGUUAAAAUUCCGGAACCGGGUCGCGGAGAAAGCGGAGGCGCCGACGCGCGCGCGCGCUCGCGGUUCGUCCGCGCGCGCGCGCCGCCGCGCGCCUCCCGCCACCGAGCGGUAACGCGAACGAGCCCGCCGACGCCGACGCGCGCCCCGGGGAGAGUUUUCUUUUCUCGGUAAGGCCCCGCGGUCCCUAGAAACGGCUCUUCCGGCGACAG